rnacentral:rRNA from 1 species
GACGAACGCUGGCGGCGUGCCUAAUACAUGCAAGUCGAACGAGAGCGACCGGUGCUUGCACUGGUCAAUCUAGUGGCGAACGGGUGAGUAACACGUGGGUAACCUGCCCAUCAGAGGGGGAUAACAUCCGGAAACGGAUGCUAAAACCGCAUAGGUCUUCGAACCGCAUGGUUUGAAGAGGAAAAGAGGCGCAAGCUUCUGCUGAUGGAUGGACCCGCGGUGCAUUAGCUAGUUGGUGAGGUAACGGCUCACCAAGGCCGUGAUGCAUAGCCGACCUGAGAGGGUGAUCGGCCACAUUGGGACUGAGACACGGCCCAAACUCCUACGGGAGGCAGCAGUAGGGAAUCUUCCGCAAUGGACGCAAGUCUGACGGAGCAACGCCGCGUGAGCGAAGAAGGUUUUCGGAUCGUAAAACUCUGUUGUUAGAGAAGAACAAGUGCUAGAGUAACUGUUAGCGACUUGACGGUAGCUAACCAGAAAGCCACGGCUAACUACGUG